GUGUACUCGUCACUGCUCCGAUUCCUCUGGAGCGCGGAUUUUAAAUUUCCACGACGGUUGAACCGUCUCUUCAUCGAGCAAGGAAGGAUAUAAGCUGCUCGUCAGGCCAACAGUGAGCAUGUCACAUUAUCGAUCAAAAGCUUGGGGCUAUUUUCUUACUCAUAGCUUUCAGUCAGGCGACUGGAGGGCAAAACACCCACAGAACUGCAGGACAGGCCUGACAAUUUUCCAUCUCUUUCAAACAACAAAUAUUACAUCGCGUCUCAAAAAAGGGUAAACAAAAUAUGUGAGUAAAAUGCACGUCCAUAUACAGCACCUGCUGCAGUAUUUCAACCACUAAACAAUAGAGCUCACUUUAAGUACCUUAAAAGUAAUAAAACAGUAAGAUUAAAAGAUAAAAUUCUUUAUACAGCUUAUUUAUGAUGUAUACUAUAUACAGACGAGCAGAUGAGCCCAGAAUAUGAACGCCACACGCUGACUGGGCAAGCAGAUGAGCCUAGAACAUAAAUGCAAUGCCUAACAAAAAACUGUAUGUUGCAUUUAUGUUCUAGACUCAUCUGCUUGCCCCCCUGUAUAUAUAGUAUGCAUCAUCAAUAAGGUGUAUAUUGAAUUUGGCCUCGUUUUACCCUCCAGGUGGGUGUUAUAUAAAAACUAGCAAUGAAGGUAAGCUUACACUAUUUUAAGUAUUUUCUUGUGAACAAUCGAAUGGGUCUAUUAAUGAAUCUGUUAAAUUUAAUACAAUUAAAGAUUAAGUAACAAUAAAAAAGUAAGUAACACUUUCAGAAUGUUUACAUUUGUGGAAUUCACCUCAGAUCAGUGUAGCUGUAGUUCCUGAUGCAUGGAUGCAGCAGAUAACGUAAGUACUGUGUGAAAGUGAUGUUAGAUACAAAAAUCUCUCUCUUUUUUUUUUAGGCAAUAUCAACACCAUACAACAGGCCCUGCUUUCCUCACCAAGAACAAGAAUUUAUCUAAAAAGAUUUUUAUUUUAUUUUUUAUUUUUUACUGUGAACUAUAACUUUGUUGUCAUUUGUCUAUAACAGCAGAUAGUAGUAUUAUUAACAAUAUGAUUCUGAAUACUAUUUUCAGCACCCGAGCCAUCACGGACAUGGAAAGGACUUGACAACUUGCCAAGAACUGGAUUUUUUGAGAUGCUAGGGAGGACUAUGGAGCAACUAUACAUACAUUCAGUGAUGCCACAGCAACAUUUAAGUAAUUUCUCCUUUAAGAUUUCUGCAACACACCAAACAUGGAUGACAAGAGUGAAGGACAAGGUUAUGGCUCAUCAAUUUGAAGGUAAGAUAAAUUGAGCCUUUUACGAAAAAUAAUCAGAAUUUUACCAUUUUGAGAUCACGCGCACAGGACCUUUUGAGAAGACUAAUUUCUCCUGUCUUCUCACUAGUCACUCUGGUCAGUCCCGGUCUGUCAUGUCAAGCUCCGAUCUGCUCUGUUCUCUGCCCAGUUUACCUGUGCCUGCAGUUCAACUCUCUCUGGUCCCAGAUGUCUACAGGUUUCGGACUCAUGCUUCAAGGUUUCUGCGCUUGCAUCUCUCCUGGAUUUGUUGAUCUUUCCUGGACUCAUUCUGGUUACCAGUCUUUUCACCUGUCCUUCGACUAUGCUCACUUGUCAGCCAUGUACAGAGCCCACUUUUGUUCAAUAAAUGUUCUGAACUGCAUUUGCUGUUUGUUUGUUUUUAAUUUAUUAAACUAUAUAUAUAUGCUGUCACAUAUAUUACAUGCUUUUAUAAAUGCAUACCUUUUGAAGGAUAAUUAGAAUAUCGUAUGCAGUUUUAAUAAAGUUGAAUUAUGUAACCUUGUAUGUCAUUUUUAUGCUUCAAAGUGUACAUUUGCAGGUGUUGGUUAUAAUUAAUUUAGUGCCCAUAAAUAAUAAGUAUAAACAAUAUAUAUAAAAAAGUAUUAUAUAGUGAUCUAAUAUCGAGUGAUUAAAAAUUAACCACGAAAUAAAAUUAACGCGCAGAAUGGGAAAUAUUUAUAAUCUAAAUAAGUUGUCAGAACGUCGUGUCGCAGUUGCCCAAUGUUGCGUAAUAAAGUUGCUACAGCCCUGUGGCGUCUU